GCUUCCGGCCAACCAUGGCCGUCCACCCAUGGCUCACAUGCCUGUCUGCGAUGAAGAAGACUCAGACUCAGAUGUGGAGGAGUUCUUUGAGAGCAGCCGGAGCCACCACACUACUGCGACGUUGCCUCACCACAGCAGCAACCACCACCAACAACCACUUCAUCUCAACUACAGACCCCCACCACCAGCAACCAACAACAACAACUACCACUACCAGACCCAGCCUCACCACAACUUGAUGAUUUAUAUAUAUACACAUCAAAAAACCAUACACAGACGAAAGAGGUGCUAGUGACCUAGUGGUAAAAGCGGGGAAAGAUGGGAAAGAUAGGUAAUGGGUGGCAGGGGCAGCAUGAAGUUGCAUACCAUGGCGGGCAGGGGAUGCAGCACCACGACAUGCAUGUGAUUCAGCACGAAGGCGGGCAUGGGAUGCAGGACUACAACGGCCAAUGGAUGAAGCAACAAGACAGGCUAAUGGCUCACCAAGUUCCACCUCGUCAUGUGUACAUGAACCCAAACCACGACAGCGGGUACAGCCAUGCAGUAGUGGUGAAAGCUACUGAAAAUUGGCAGGUCAGCAAAAGCAGCGGGCGCCGCAAACUCGGGUGGGGGAGUGAGGGACUCUAGACUCCACCUAGAUACUCUGCCGGUUCAAGUAAGAAAAUAAUGAUUAUGUAUCCCAAGUAAUAAAUGUAUAAGAUGUAUGUGUGUGAUAUAUAUGGUCAUGUUUCUGUAUCGUACCAAAACUAAAUAGGGGACUUUUAACCCAAAAAGAAGUGCUUUCGUAUGAUGACCUUAUGAUUACUAAAGAGUGUUCUUGUUGUUGCUUAUGUUUGAUAAAAGUGAUGUAUAUUAUCAGUUGAUUUUCCCA